ensembl:lncRNA
UGCGUCUGCAGGAUUUCACUAAAUUCCCAUUGACUCAAGCCUCCCUCUGUUUCUCACAAUACGGUCAAGGGAGCAGCUCAUUUAUAAAAGGACAGGCCAGUUUCAACCUGAUGGGUUGAAAGAAUUAGCCAGUGCCAAAUGAUACUUUAUUGAUCUUUUCUUGGGAAGGUGAGGGGAAGUGGGGCAACGUAGAGUCCUCAAAUUGCUUGUCUGGGUUCAUCUUCCCCGAAGGGGCAGCUUGCAUACAAUCCCCGUUAUAUUGGCUUUGGCAUAGUGGCGGGCUUUUAGGAUGCUGUCGGCUCUCCAUCUGUGUGUCGAUAGAUUAUUUUAAGGGGGCAUGCUUGGACCUUCAUUGACCAUGAGAAUCUGUCCAACUUCCACACUGUGUGAAUAUCCAAGACAAACACACGUAUCUACCAUUAAAACGGAGGAAGCAGACGCAACUAUUUACGGAACAGGAUUCCAGGUCUUAAGGGAGAAGAAAAAAGAAGUUUAUCCAACAAGAUCACCACAGGAUCCCAACAGGACAUCAUAUUGCAUCUUGGCACCACCUCUUCUUAGGCUUCAAUUGGCUCAAACAGUUUUUAAAAGAUUGCUUGACUUGAUGACCUGGACAAUUUUGAAGAGCACUGGUUAGGAUUUUUUUAGAGCCUUCUAUUGGGACUUGUCUGAUAUUUUUCUCAUGAUUGUGGUUUUUUGAGAGGAAGACCACAGAAGCAGUAUGUCAUUUUUGUUUCAUCUUAUCAAGGGAACAAUAGUAUAGGAAUGUAAUCUAUAAAUAUGUUGAAUCACCAUGCUGUACACCUGAAACUAAUAUAGUACUGUAAGUCAACUGUACUGCAAUUUAAGAAUUCAUAGCACAGAAGUUGACCCCGGUGGCCUGACUGAGGUAGUGUUUGUCAGAUUUCACCACUGUAGAAUUUUUUCUCUUUCCCCUGACCAUACUGUAACCUUUAAAAAGAAGGCCCCACCCCUGCCUAAGGAAUAGAGAGUGUCAUGUUCCACCUUCUUGAGGGCCAGAUAUCCACACAAAUUAAUAGGAAUUCUUUUGCACAUAAGAAUAUGUCUUCUCCCACAUUUAUUUAUAUACU